UUAAGCGUCUCGCGGUACCUUCUUAGGUCUCAUUCGUCGGGCACUGCUUGGUUGAGGCGCACGUUUGAACACUGAAGAAUGGAAGAGCAUCUCAUUGGAGCAACCCAAGUGCCUACCCACGCAGACAUCCUUCACUGCAGAGGACACCAAAAAAACUCAAGACCCAGUAGCUGCGGGUAAUAAACGAGCAGAUGUUGAAGCCAAAAAAGAGGCACUCACAGAGGUCCAACACCAAAUGUUGGCUCUGCCUGUGUAGCCACCACCCUACUCAACCAAGGAACAUAGAUCCCUCACACAAUAGGGAUGAUAAUUCAAAUAAAGAUGGCACAUUCUUAAAGGGAUGCUCACCCAGCCAGAUCAAUGAUUUUGUUAAACCAAACACCAAAUCCUCCAUGGUGCCGCCUGCACAGAUAAAGCCUUUAAAGCCUGAUUUCUCAUCUCGGAACCAGUCUUUGCAAAUCACUGGCCUCUCACCAUCCUUCAUUACAGUGAUAGUCCAGCAUCUCAUAACUGAUCCUGAGGAAUUCAGUUGCUUCCCAGGGUGAAUACAGGUUGUCCUGAUGAUGACAUGUUCCUUUAUCUUAUGGUUCCCACAGAUCUGCCUGGGGACAAACUAGUGGAAAGAGUUGAAAGUGGAGCAGCUUCUGUUUCUGUGUACCACUGAAAAGCCUCCAGAGUUAAGAGGUACUGUUACCAGUAACCUGCUUGUUCAAAGGUCCAGCACCUUAUCUGGAGCCCAAGAAUAAUUUGAGGGAAACUGGAGGCUGUGUUUCUGCUCGACUCCAGUCUGAAGUCAGAGGUCUGAGGAAAGAACAAGGUGCAUAUAAAUGGAAUCCAAGUCUCUUGGAGGUCAUCAGAAAGGGAAUUUUCAAACCUUUUAUGGUACAGCCUAGCUGAUUAAGUUAAUAUACAAUCAUUUUAGUCUUCCUAAUAAAGCUUUCCUUUUUAACCUUUA